AGUAAAUAAUAAUAAUAAAAAAAUCCAGAGCUUCUCUGUCCCAUGAGGUGUUUUGAGAUAAAAUAGAUUUUUUGGGAAGUAGCAGUUAAGAAAAUUGCACCCUGGGUAUGAAGAGUCAUGUUCAUUCUUUUAAAGUCUCAUUCGAAUUCGUUGUAUACUAGGAACACUAAUGUGAAUGAAACUCCAAGCUAAGCUGUUUUAAAGAGUUUUAGAGUUUUAAGCAUAUGAGGGCUUAACAAAGAGCUUCACACAGAACUCCCCUGAGGGGUCCAUCCUCUGGGGACAAUGGUCCUUUCCUAAAGUCUCACAAUAACUUGGUGGAAAGUUCUUGACCCUUUUGCUCAGACUGAGUUGCCUUUUAAAAAAUUAUGCCUGAUGAAAAUAUGCCACUUUAUCUUAUAAUGGGUCGCUCUGUCCUACAGAUUCUGGAAUGUUAAAAUCCCUUCUUACUGGUGACCUCUUUCUUCCUUCCAUUUCCCUUUCUUCUGUCUUUCUCACUGUUUUUUCCCCACAUCUUUUAUUGUUUUUCAUCUCACUUCACUAUUAUUUUUUGGCUCUCUUUUUCUGAAACUAUGCUUCUCCUGAUCAUUUCUGUGCCUAGAUAGGGUCACUGCUUUGUCUUUGUCUUUGUGAGAGGAAAUCAGGGAAGCAUCUUCUCCCAUCUGUAUGUAAUGUAUUGCAAAUUUCCUGGUCAUCCCAGACCUCUGGCAUCUGACUUGCAGCAAUGAUUGAGGGCUUCCUGAUGAUCAAUAGAUGUGUAGGAGGUAUGGCAGUGGUUCUCAACAGGGCGAUUGUUAUCCUCCAGAGGACAUUUGCCAAUGCCCUACAGACAUUUUGGUUGUCUCAACUUGGUGGGGGGAGGCUAUUGGCAACUCAUGGGUAGAGGCCAGGGAUGCUGCUAAACGUCCUAGCAUGUGAAAGUUUCUUGUAUUGGUUCGAACCCUAAAAGCAUGCCAACAGACAACACAAAGCGGUGUGGAGCAACACACUGUUUUAAUGAGUGCCUGGGUGCAGGCGGGCUGAGACCUAAAAUGACAUCAGCCCCAAGUGAGGACGGGACAGGGGCUUUGUAGUCCUCUGUAAACAGGAAGUGUCCCAGUCUGACGUGACUGCUACGUAGUACCUGGACGGCCUCUUUCUCGGUCUUCAGGGGUAUGUGUCUUCCGGCCAGGGUAGGUGUCUUCCGGCCAGGGUAGGUGUCUUCUGGCCCGCUGUCUUCCUGCUUCUGCUAUCUUGCUGACGCGUGCUGCUGGCGCAAGUGGCCUUGAGCUUUGGGACUGGGCCUGAGAAGGGAGGAGUUACUCAUCCCUUCAAGCUUUCGGGCCCGGGGGAGAAUCUUUCAGCAUGCACAAAGUAACUCUCCUCUACCCCAACAAGGAAUGAUCUGACCUUAAAUGUCAAUAGUGCCUAAGAAGCCCUGCUAUGUAGUAUUGAGGCUCUAGUUCUCAAGUGAAACUGUCUUUAUGAAUACCUAACAUACAUAAAAAUAGGAGCAGGCCUAUUUGGAAAUUUCUCUAUUUGUGUCUCUUUUUAUAAGUAGCUGAAUCAAAUGUGGAAGUGAUUCAGAGGCAGCCACAUGGAGAGGGAAAGGCCCUGGUGAAGGAGCCUGGAGAACUCGGAUCCUGCUCCUUCUCUAUCACUCUGUCACUUACCAGUCAUCUGACCUUGGCUUAGUCCCUUCACCUCCCUUUGUUUCAGUUUCUUCACCUGAAAAAUGAGUGCUUGGAGUAAAUGCUCGCUGAGGUCCUUUUAAGUUCAGUGAUGUCUAAGAUAAAAUUUAUUUAGCUUUUUCUUUCUCUCAAAAAAUGAAUAACAGAAACAGAGAUAUGGUCCACACAGCAUAGUGGACUUUUGAGAGUACGGUACCUUCGACCACUUUUCUCUGUUGGAAAGUGUGUUACCAGUUUUGAAGAGACAGGAAGAAACACAUACACAAGCUUUGUUUGUUAUUAGUCAUGACAUCACAGCUGCUCACUGGGGUCAUGAAUAAAGAGCUGAGCUAAAGCAUUGUCUUGUGGGAGUAAGGCAAGGAGUGGCAAAAUGCCCAUUGUUUUCUUUUGCUAUGAAUCUGUUCUCUUGUGAUUUCAGGUGGAAAACCGACAGCAGGAAUCCAAUGACAUUCAGGAAGUAAACAUCCUGUUUAGGGCAGUUGCCUUCAGUUUUGCAGACCUGGGUGGAGGAGGGGAUGGGGACAGGGACUCACUAUUGGAUUUAACCAUGAACAGAAAAAUGCCCAAAUAUUGUUUGUUUUCCCGUUUUAGCUGUAAAGCAAAGAGCAACCCUUACAUUUUAUACAGGCUCCCAAGUACCAAGUAAAAUCUUUCCUGUAUUUCCAAAUAUGGAUUUAAACCUUUCAGAGGGUAAAAGAACUUUAAAGAAGGAAAAUGUGGAAAUACAGAUGAAGCAUUCAAGAUGAAAAAUUGGUUUCUGAUGUCUUGGACCACAACCGACUAGUGUUCUUCAUGCAUUUAAAAAAGUAUCAGAUUGUGCAGGGACUCCCACAUGCGGAGUACUUGUAAUUCCAGUCCAGAGUUCAGGCUUUGCACAAUGUCAGGACCCUCUAAAGUUAUCUGGCUAAGACAAGAAUGUGUUCAGUUGCAAAGGAUUCAACUUCCAAGGCUUCUGGAUGUUGGAAUCUUUGCCUCACGGUGAUUUCUGAUGGUAGGGCUAGACUGAUUAUAUAAGGUGUGCCACAUUUAUUUCUAGGAUUCCUAAAUUGGCCACUAUUUAUCAAUUAGGAAACUCACUUUCUAUGACAGAAGAAAACAUUUCUGCCUAUAUUCAUUCUACCCGUGCCCUUUUCCUGCUGACAUUUUUACACGAUAAAAUGCUAUCUUUUUAAAUAAUAAAAUCUGAACCAGAUGGAAAAAGUGAAUUGUCUCUAGGGCAGAUUUAUUAUAGUCAUUGAAUUCAGAAAUGAAGAGAAUGUAAAGAAGGGAUAUUAACCAUAUAGAGCUUUUACAACACGAAUCUUCAUUCUCUGAAUUUUAUAUGAGAUGGCCAUAUCUCCCUCUCUCUAUAUAUAACUUUAUUUAAAGAGAUUUAAAACUCCUCAAGAAAUGAUGCUUUAUUUCUUUCCUUUAAUGACUAUUAUAAGGUUGAAAUUGUUUCUGUUUUCUUUUCUUUAAUUGAAUCUCAUCAGUUUCCUUCUGGAGUGCCAAGUUUUGUUUUCUCAAACUCUCUACCAUAGUACUACUUCAAAUUGUUGAAAUCGUUCUGCUUUCAUUUCCACAUAUUCAGAAGAUACGUAUAUUGUUCUUGUAAUCUUUUCCCAGAAGUUGUAAACAGUGACACCAGAUUUCAGUCACUGGUAAAGGAUCAUGUAAAUAGUAGUAAUCCAAGACAUCGGAUACACUUUAAAGAGAAAGGAAAGGAGUUAAAGGAAGUUGGCUGUGUUACAU
rnacentral:lncRNA from 1 species